rnacentral:rRNA from 1 species
AUUGAACGCUGGCGGCAGGCCUAACACAUGCAAGUCGAGCGGAGCGGCGGACGGGUGAGUAAUGCCUAGGAAUCUGCCUGGUAGUGGGGGAUAACGUCCGGAAACGGGCGCUAAUACCGCAUACUAUCAGAUGAGCCUAGGGCGGAUUAGCUAGUUGGUGGGUUAAAGGCAUACCCAGGCGACGACCCGUAACUGGUCUGAGAGGGUGAGCAGUCAAACUGGAACGGAGACACGGUCCAGACUCCUACGGGAGGAAGCAGUGGGGAAUAUUGGACAAUGGGCGAAAGCCUGAGACAGCCAUGCCGCGUGUGUGAAGAAGGUCUUCGGAUUGUAAUGCACUUUAAGUUGGGAGGCGUUACCAACAGAAUAAGCACCGGCUAACUUCGUGCCAGCAGCCGCGGUAAUAC